rnacentral:rRNA from 1 species
CCUACGGGUGGCAGCAGUGGGGAAUAUUGCACAAUGGGCGCAAGCCUGAUGCAGCCAUGCCGCGUGUAUGAAGAAGGCCUUCGGGUUGUAAAGCACUUCCAGCGGGGAGGAAGGCGGUGAGGUUAAUAACCUCACCGAUUGACGUUACCCGCAGAAGAAGCACCGGCUAACUCCGUGCCAGCAGCCGCGGUAAUACGGAGGGUGCAAGCGUUAAUCGGAAUUACUGGGCGUAAAGCGCACGCAGGCGGUCUGUCAAGUCGGAUGUGAAAUCCCCGGGCUCAACCUGGGAACUGCAUUCGAAACUGGCAGGCUAGAGUCUUGUAGAGGGGGGUAGAAUUCCAGGUGUAGCGGUGAAAUGCGUAGAGAUCUGGAGGAAUACCGGUGGCGAAGGCGGCCCCCUGGACGAAGACUGACGCUGAGGCGCGAAAGCGUGGGGAGCAAACAGGAUUAGAUACCCUCGUAGUC